CACCCUGCUUCCUGUUUAGGUUGCUAGCUGCCAUGAACCAUUUGAACCUCGAAUGACUCCUUUUCUGUUCAUUUUAGCCUAUGUUUCUUAACAAUUUUGUCAAAGGUUGUAACUUAGUCACAAUUUAAGAUGUCCGAACCGGGAAACAGACUCCGCAGGUUGCUGGAGUCGCCCAAUUUCGACCCACAGAAUUACGUGAAGCAGCUUUCCCAGCAGUCGGAUGGCGAUCGAGACCUUCAGGAGCACCGACAAAAGAUCCAAAACCUGGCCGAUGAGACGGCCCAGAACCUGAAAAAGAACGUCUACAAGAACUACCGGCAGUUCAUCGAGACGGCCAAGGAGAUCUCGUACCUGGAGAGCGAGAUGUACCAGCUGAGCCACAUCCUAACGGAGCAGAAGAGCAUCAUGGAGAGCAUCACCCAGGCCCUGUUAUCCACCGACAAAGAUGAAACCUCCAAGGAGAUGCAGGCCGCCUUCCCUAAGGAGAGUGAGGAGGUGAAGCAGAGGAGCCUCACCUCCCUUCUGGAGAAGGUGGAGGGAGGCAAGACCAUCAUGGACACCCCCGGGAGGCACCUGGUAUACAAUGGCGACUUGGUGGAGUUUGAUGUGGACAACAUGUCUCCCGUCCAGAAGGUACACGCCUUCCUCAUGAACGACUGCCUGCUGAUCGCCACCUGGCUGGCCAACCGGCGCGGGGCCGUAAAGUACAAGUACAACGCCUUGUACGACCUGGAGAGCUUCGCCGUGGUCAACGUGAAGGACAACCCACCUAUGAAGGACAUGUUCAAGAUCCUCAUGUUCCCCGACAGCCGCAUCUUCCAGGCGGAGAACAGCAAGAUCAAGAAGGAGUGGCUGGAGAUUUUGGAUGAAACCAAGAAGAACAAAGCCAACAAAGAGCACGGCAAGAAGGAGGAGGAGAAGACGCCGACGUCUCCCAUUCGGGUUGAAGUUUCCACCAAUCCUUUUGAUCAGGAUGAUGACGACGAGCAGGCUGAGGUGGAGGAGAGUGUGGACCUCGGUCUGGAGUGGAUCCAGGAGCUGCCCGAGGACCUGGACGUGUGCAUCGCCCAGAGGGAUUUUGAGGGUGCCGUGGACCUGCUGGAAAAGCUCAAUGAGUACCUGAAGGAGCAGCCGCUGACGACCAAGGUCAAGGAGCUGCGGGCCAAGGUGGACGAGCGAGUGAGGCAGCUGACCGAUGUCCUGGUUUUUGAGCUGUCCCCGGACCGCUCGCUGCGCGGCGGACCUCAGGCCACUAGGAGGGCCGUGUUGCAGCUCAUCAGGCUAGGCCAGUCCACCAAGGCGUGCGAGCUGUUCCUGAAGAACCGCGCGGCGGCCGUGCACACGGCCAUCCGGCAGCUGCGCAUCGAGGGCGCCACGCUGCUCUACAUCCACAAGCUUUGCAACAUCUUCUUCACGGGCCUGCUGGAGACGGCCAAGGAGUUCCAGAUGGACUUUGCCGGCAACACGGGCUGCUACUCGGCCUUCGUGGCGUGGUCCCGAUCGGCCAUGAGGAUGUUUGUGGACGCCUUCAGCAAACAGGUGUUCGACAGCAAGGAGAACCUGUCGACGGCGUCCGAGUGUGUGAAAGUGGCCAAGGAGCACUGCCUCCAGCUGACCGACAUCGGCCUGGACCUGACCUUCACGCUGGAGUCUCUGCUGGUGAAGGACGUGAAAGCGGCCCUGCUCAGCUACAAAGACGUCAUUGUCGAGGCCACCAAGCAUCGCAAUUCUGAGGAGAUGUGGAGACGGAUGAACCUCAUGACGCCGGAGGCUCUCGCCAAGCUCAAGGAGGAGAUGCGCGCCAGCGGCAUGUCGACGUUCGACGCGUACACGGGCGCCGACUGCUGGGUGAACCUGAGCUACACGCUGGUAGCCUUCACCAAGCAGCUGCUGAGCUUCCUGGAAGAGGCCCUGAAGCUUUACUUCCCCGAGCUGCACACGGUGCUGCUGGAGAGCCUGCGCGAGAUCGUGGUGGUGGCCGUGCAACACGUGGACUACAGCCUGCGCUGCGAGCAGGACGCCGACAAGAAGGCCUUCGUGGUGCUGAAUGCCGCCUUCCUGCACGACUGCGUGCUGCCCGAGGUGGAGCGCCGCUUUGAGGAAGCCGUGGGGAAGCCCGCCAAGCAGCUGCGGGAAUUACGCAAGAGCACCCGGCCCGUCAGGAUCAACCCAGAGAGCACCACGUCUCUUGUCUGACCUCCUCUAUGCUUCCCUUUUCACCCAUUGGACUUGAAUAAAAGGAAUGAAGGGGUGGUGAAUGCAACCUGGCUAUCAAAGGGCAGUAUUGUCUUGUAGAGACAAAUUUAAGAUCGUCACAACUACAAUGAGGACACAAGUCCUUUGCUGCCAUCUUGUGGCAUGUAUAGGAAAUUACAUUUCAUCUUGAAUGACAUGAGAUUGACCAGGUGGAAGUUUGGUCCUCAAGGUGGGUAAUUUAAACGAAAGAGAGCAACACAACAA